UAGGGAAGAUGAGAAAUGGACGAAAGUCUGAUCUAGAGACACCGCGUGGGUGAUGAAGGCCUUCGGGUCGUAAAGCCCUGUCAGGUGGGAAGAAUGUCCCGGGACUGAACAGGUUCCGGGAGUGACGGUACCACAAGAGGAAGCACCGGCUAACUCCGUGCCAGCAGCCGCGGUAAUACGGAGGAUGCAAGCGUUAUCCGGAUUCAUUGGGUUUAAAGGGUGCGCAGGCGGAAUGAUAAGUCAGUGGUGAAAUCCUACGGCUCAACUGUAGAACUGCCAUUGAUACUGAGGGUCGUGAGUGUAAAUAAGGUAGGCGGAAUGUGUUGUGUAGCGGUGAAAUGCUUAGAUAUAACACAGAACACCAAUUGCGAAGGCAGCUUACUGGUAUACAACUGACGCGGAGGCACGAAAGCGUGGGGAUCAAACA
rnacentral:rRNA from 1 species